rnacentral:rRNA from 1 species
GAUGAACGCUGGCGGCGUGCCUAAUACAUGCAAGUCGAGCGAACAGACGCGGAGCUUGCUCCUCUGACGUUAGCGGCGGACGGGUGUGUAACACGUGUAUCACCUCCCUAUCUGACUGAUAUCACUACGGAACACCGGCGCUAAUACCGUAUAAGAUAUUGCACCGCAUGGUUCAAUGGUGAGAGACGGCUUUUCUGUCUCUACUAGAGGCUUCUGCGCCGGUUUAGCUAGUAGGUAAGGUAACGGCCUAUCAAGGCGACGAUGCGUAACCGACCGGAGGGGGGGAUAGGCGACCCUGGAGGUGAGACACGGUCCAGACUACUAAGGGAGGCAGCAGUAGGGUAUCGUACGCAAUGGGCGAAAGCCUGACGGAGCAACGGCGAGUGAGUGAUGAAGGUCUUCGGAGCGUAAUACUCUGUUAUUAGGGAAGAACAAAUGUGGAAGUAACUAUGCACGGCUUGACGGUAACUAAUCAGAAAGCCACGGCUAGCUACGUG